rnacentral:rRNA from 1 species
AUUAAACGCUGGCGGCAUGCCUUACACAUGCAAGUCGAACGGCAGCACGGGGGCAACCCUGGUGGCGAGUGGCGAACGGGUGAGUAAAGCAUCGGAACGUGCCCUGGAGUGGGGGAUAACGUAGCGAAAGUUACGCUAAUACCGCAUAUUCUGUGAGCAGGAAAGCAGGGGAUCGCAAGACCUUGCGCUCUGGGAGCGGCCGAUGUCGGAUUGGCUAGUUGGUGGGGUAAAGGCCUACCAAGGCGACGAUCCGUAGCGGGUCUGAGAGGAUGAUCCGCCACACUGGGACUGAGACACGGCCCAGACUCCUACGGGAGGCAGCAGUGGGGAAUUUUGGACAAUGGGCGAAAGCCUGAUCCAGCCAUGCCGCGUGAGUGAAGAAGGCCUUCGGGUUGUAAAGCUCUUUCGGUGGGGAAGAAAUUGCAUGGGCUAAUACCCUGUGUAGAUGACGGUACCUGGAGAAGAAGCACCGGCUAACUACGUGCCAGCAGCCGCGGUAAUACGUAGGGUGCGAGCGUUAAUCGGAAUUACUGGGCGUAAAGCGUGCGCAGGCGGUUUGGUAAGUCAGAUGUGAAAUCCCCGGGCUCAACCUGGGAACUGCAUUUGAGACUGCCAAGCUGGAGUUUGGCAGAGGGGGGUGGAAUUCCACGUGUAGCAGUGAAAUGCGUAGAGAUGUGGAGGAACACCGAUGGCGAAGGCAGCCCCCUGGGCAAUACUGACGCUCAUGCACGAAAGCGUGGGGAGCAAACAAGAUUAGAUACCCUGGUAGUCCACGCCCUAAACGAUGUCAACUAGGUGUUGGGAGGGUUAAACCUUUUAGUGCCGUAGCUAACGCGUGAAGUUGACCGCCUGGGGAGUACGGCCGCAAGGCUAAAACUCAAAGGAAUUGACGGGGACCCGCACAAGCGGUGGAUGAUGUGGAUUAAUUCGAUGCAACGCGAAAAACCUUACCUACCCUUGACAUGUCAGGAAUCCCGGAGAGAUUUGGGAGUGCUCGAAAGAGAGCCUGAACACAGGUGCUGCAUGGCUGUCGUCAGCUCGUGUCGUGAGAUGUUGGGUUAAGUCCCGCAACGAGCGCAACCCUUGCCAUUAGUUGCUACGAAAGGGCACUCUAAUGGGACUGCCGGUGACAAACCGGAGGAAGGUGGGGAUGACGUCAAGUCCUCAUGGCCCUUAUGGGUAGGGCUUCACACGUCAUACAAUGGUCGGUACAGAGGGUUGCCAACCCGCGAGGGGGAGCCAAUCCCACAAAGCCGAUCGUAGUCCGGAUCGCAGUCUGCAACUCGACUGCGUGAAGUCGGAAUCGCUAGUAAUCGCGGAUCAGCAUGUCGCGGUGAAUACGUUCCCGGGCCUUGUACACACCGCCCGUCACACCAUGGGAGUAGGUUGCUCCAGAAGUAGUUAGCCUAACCGCAAGGGGGGCGAUUACCACGGAGUGAUCCAUGACUGGGGUGAAGUCGUAACAAGGUAGCCGUAUCGGAAGG